GGGCGGUUAGCUCAGUUGGCUAGAGCGCCACGUUGACAUCGUGGAGGUCGUUGGUUCAAGCCCAAUACCGCCCA
rnacentral:tRNA from 1 species